rnacentral:rRNA from 1 species
UACGAAGGGGGCUAGCGUUGUUCGGAAUUACUGGGCGCAAAGCGCGCGCAGGUGGUCUUUCAAGUCAGUGGUGAAAGCCCGGAGCUCAACUCCGGAAAUGCCAUUGAAACUGUGAGACUUGAGGACGAGAGAGGUGAGUGGAAUUCCCAGUGUAGAGGUGAAAUGCGCAGAUAUCGGGAAGAACACCCGUGGCGAAGGCGGCUCUCUGGGACGGUACUGACGCUGAGACGCGAAAGCGUGGGGAGCGAACAGG